rnacentral:pre_miRNA from 1 species
AUCAGUUCUUUAGUUCAAAACAGAAAAAUAUCUGUUUUGAAAUAAAGAACUGUUUU